rnacentral:rRNA from 1 species
UACAGAGGGUGCAAGCGUUAAUCGGAAUUAUUGGGCGUAAAGGGCUUGUAGGUGGUUCUAUAAGUUAGAUGUGAAACCCCUGGGCUUAACCUGGGACGUGCAUUUAAUACUGUAGAGCUAGAGUAUGGCAGAGGAGUGGGGAAUUCCUGGUGUAGCAGUGAAAUGCGUAGAGACCAGGAGGAACAUCAGUGGCGAAGGCGCCACUCUGGGCUAAUACUGACACUGAGGAGCGAAGGCGUGGGGAU